rnacentral:rRNA from 1 species
UACAGAGGUCCCGAGCGUUGUUCGGAUUCCCUGGGCGUAAAGGGUGCGUAGGUGGCAUGGUAAGUUUGAUGUGAAAGCUCAGGGCUCAACCCUGAAAUGGCAUUGAAUACUACUGUGCUGGAGGUUUGGAGGGGGGACUGGAAUUCUUGGUGUAGCAGUGAAAUGCGUAGAUAUCAAGAGGAACACCAGUGGCGAAGGCGAGUCCCUGGACAACACCUGACACUGAGGCACGAAAGCUAGGGGAGCAAACAGG